AUGUGUUUGUGUGCCUGCCUGCCUGAAGCUCUCAUUCCUGACCUUAGUGAAGGAAACUUGUUUAGUCUGACAGCUGCAAUUCAUGCUUUUUCUACUUUGGGGUGUUACAGGUUUUCAAUCAUGGGGAAGAGGAUCCUAGUAUUCAGAGUUGGGAGAUAUUUUAGAGUCCAACUUCCUUAUUUUAUGGGCAAGAAGAUUAGGUCCUGGAGACAAGAGGAAUGACCUGACCCAAGUCACACAGAUGAAAAAUCCAGGUAGUUUUUACUUCAAAUCUGAGACUCCCCAUAAUAAGUAAGGACUCAGAAGGUGAGAAAAGACUGGAACAAGCCUUGUGCUUGCCUUUCUGGCUGGAUUAGAUGAAGGAUGGGAGGAAGGAGACUUGGGCAGGUCUUUGAUCCCAUAUAGUAUAAGUUCCACCCUUGUGGAUUAUAAAAUGCUUUCAUGUCAAUUCAUAGAGCUGGUUUUGUGUACAUAUUGGUAAAGCCAAUAGUUGUGUAUGAGACUGAAG
rnacentral:lncRNA from 1 species